UACGUAGGGCGCAAGCGUUGUCCGGAAUUAUUGGGCGUAAAGAGCUCGUAGGCGGUUUGUUGCGUCCGCUGUGAAAACUCGGGGCUUAACCCCGAGCCUGCAGUGGAUACGGGCAGACUAGAGGUAGGUAGGGGAGAAUGGAAUUCCCGGUGUAGCGGUGAAAUGCGCAGAUAUCGGGAGGAACACCGGUGGCGAAGGCGGGACUCUGGGCCGAUACUGACGCUGAGGAGCGAAAGCGUGGGGAGCAAACAGG
rnacentral:rRNA from 1 species